AUUGUUUGAUCCUGGCUCAGGACGAACGCNGGCGGCGUGCCUAACACNUGCAAGUCGAACGGUUCUAAGCGCGAGCUUAGGAUAGUGGCGAACGGGUGAGUAAAAGGUAGGAAUCUACCCCUUGGACGGAGAUAGNUACNGGAAACGGUAGGUAAACUUCGAUAAGCCCCAGAGGGGAAAGUGGUGAGACAGCCGAGGGAUGAGCUUACUCUCCAUCAGGUAGUUGGUGAGAUAAAAGCUUACCAAGCCGAUGACGGAUNACCGGUGUGAGAGCAUGAACGGUCACAAGGGCANUGAGAGACGGGCCCUACUCCUACGGGAGGCAGCAGUGGGGAAUCUUGGACAAUGGGCGAAAGCCUGAUCCAGNGACGCCGCGUGGAGGAAGAAGUCNUUCGGGAUGUAAACUUCUGAACUAGCCGAAUAAAAGGCCUGUGGACACACAGGAGAAGAAAGUNGGCUAGGAAAAGUCCCGGCNAACUACGUGCCAGCAGCCGCGGUAAU
rnacentral:rRNA from 1 species